UGCGCAGGCGGACCUAUCAGUCAGUGAUGAAAUCUCUCGGCUCAACCGGGAAACUGCCAUUGAUACUGUAGGUCUUGAGUUUGGUUGAAGUGGGCGGAAUGUAGCAUGUAGCGGUGAAAUGCAUAGAUAUGCUACAGAACACCGAUCGCGAAGGCAGCUCACUAAACCAAAACUGACGCUCAGGCACGAAAGCGUGGGUAGCGAACAGGAUUAGAUACCCUGGUAGUCC
rnacentral:rRNA from 1 species